AUGGUCUUUGUGAACUAUGCAACGCCAAUUGACUUUAAUAUUCCCAAAGGCUAUGGGUCCAAGGUUCCAGAACUAGCAAUUCAUUCCCUUAGGGUGUUAGUUAUGAUUAAGAUGUUUACAAAGAAAGCAUUGUCCUCUACUGGCUGUGCUAUAUAUGUGGAUUCCAUUUUGCUAUGCAGCUCUUAUUCUGGACUGGUGGCUGCAGCACUGGUGGAGGAGGAAACUCGCAGAUAUCGACCUACAAAGAACUACCUGAGCUACCUGACAGCCCCAGAUUACUCAGCUUUUGAAACUGACAUAAUGAGAAAUGAGUUUGAAAGACUGGCUGCUCGACAGCCAAUUGAGUUGCUCAGUAUGAAACGUUAUGAGCUUCCAGCCCCUUCCUCAGGUCAGAAAAAUGAUAUUACUGCAUGGCAAGAAUGUGUAAAUAAUUCUAUGGCCCAUUAGAACAUCAAGCAGUUCGAAUUGAAAAUCUAGAACUGAUGUCACAGCAUGGAUGCAAUGCCUGGAAAGUAUACAAUGAAAAUCUGGUUCACAUGAUUGAACAUGCUCAAAAAGAGCUCCAGAAAUUAAGGAAACAUAUUCAAGAUUUAAACUGGCAGCGAAAGAAUAUGCAACUAACAGCUGGGUCCAAAUUGAGAGAAAUGGAGUCAACUUGGGUAUCCCUGGUUAGUAAGAAUUAUGAGAUUGAACGGAGUAUUGUACAACUAGAAAAUGAAAUCUAUCAAAUAAAGCAGCAGCAUGGAGAGGCAAACAAAGAAAACAUCCGGCAAGACUUCUGA